rnacentral:lncRNA from 1 species
AACAAUCAAAAUGUAACUUUAAUUCGUUAGGGGAAAGAAAGAAAAAAACAAGAAAAAGAACAAUAGAAAACUGAACCGCAAGAAGCAAAACCAAAACGGGAAUAAAGAAAGUGGGAAACAACACCAAAAAAAAAAGGUGAAUAAUGGGAAUAGAUUUUUGGGGAAUAAAAAAAAUGAAAUGAAAUGAUAAUAACAAACAAAAGAAACCCAAACGUGGCAACAGGCUGGGAAAACAAAGAAAAAAAUUAUAAUAAAUAAGUUUAAAUGUUAAAAGGAAUUCAAACCUACUGCCACCCCCGACUAACCAAAUUUUUAGGAGUUUAACUCCCACUCCAACACCACCAAC